AUCGUUCAAUCUGUGAGAGCAGAUCGGAAGUAGGUUAUACCGAAGGAACGCGGA
rnacentral:ncRNA from 10 species